rnacentral:rRNA from 1 species
GACGAACGCUGGCGGCGUGCCUAAUACAUGCAAGUUGAACGCAACAAAGACACCAGAGCUUGCUCUACCGUCUUUGUUGAGUAGCGAACGGGUGAGUAACGCGUGGGUAACCUGCCUUAUAGCGGGGGAUAACUAUUGGAAACGAUAGCUAAUACCGCAUAACAAUAGAGAUUGCAUAAUCUUUAUUUGAAAGUGCCAACUGGUACACUAUGAGAUGGACCCGCGUUGUAUUAGCUAGUUGGUAGUGUAAUGGACUACCAAGGCGAUGAUACAUAGCCGA